rnacentral:rRNA from 1 species
UACGUAGGGGGCAAGCGUUGUCCGGAAUCAUUGGGCGUAAAGCGCGUGUAGGCGGCCAGAUAAGUCCGCUGUGAAAUCUCGAGGCUCAACUUCGAGCUGUCGGUGGAAACUGUCUGGCUAGAGUCCGGAAGAGGAGAAUGGAAUUCCUGGUGUAGCGGUGAAAUGCGCAGAUAUCAGGAGGAACACCGAUGGCGAAGGCAGGUCUCUGGGCAUUAACUGACGCUGAGGAGCGAAAGCAUGGGGAGCGAACAGG